rnacentral:rRNA from 1 species
GACGAACGCUGGCGGCGUGCCUAAUACAUGCAAGUCGAACGAACUCUGGUAAUGAUUGGUGCUUGCAUCAUGAAUUACAUUUGAGUGAGUGGCGAACUGGUGAGUAACACGUGGGAAACCUGCCCAGAAGCGGGGGAUAACACCUGGAAACAGAUGCUAAUACCGCACAACAACUUGGACCGCAUGGUCCGAGUCUGAAAGAUGGCUUCGGCUGUCACUUUUGGAUGGUCCCGCGGCGUAUUAGCUAGAUGGUGAGGUAACGGCUCACCAUGGCAAUGAUACGUAGCCGACCGGAGAGGGUAAUCGGCCAAAUUGGGACUGAGACACGGCCCAAACACCUACGGGAGGCAGCAGUAGGGAAUCUUCCACAAUGGACGAAAGUCUGAUGGAGCAACGCCGCGUGAGUGAAGAAGGGUUUCGGCUCGUAAAACUCUGUUGUUAAAGAAGAACAUAUCUGAGAGUAACUGUUCAGGUAUUGACGGUAUUAACCAGAAAGCCACGGCUAACUACGUGCCAGCAGCCGCCGUAA